rnacentral:piRNA from 1 species
UUCCUGACUUUGACGGUGGUGGCGGC